UUCCUCCUGGUUAGUGAAAUGGGCGCCUUUUUACAUGUUUACUGACCUCUGGACACUCCCACUUUGUGAUGUAGUCUGCCCACUUCCCUGUGGAGUUGAUCUUUUUCCUGUUGAUUUGCAGGAGUUCUUUACAUAUUUAUGCGUCCUGGACAUAAGUCCUUGAUGCUUUGCUGCACAUCGUAUUGCAAAUGCCCCACCGGCUGUGACGCGCAUAGUUUUACUGGUGUUUUAAACUCCGCGAGGUGCCAAGGCACUGUCGUGCGCUGUAUCUUUGCUUGAAUUUGUCCACAAACGUCAUCCUUUCAGGACUUCUUCACCUUUUCCUACAUUUUCACGCCUACACCCGGGCUCCUUUUCCUCUGGCGUUUGGUCUGAGCGCAGGGCCGGGGAGAUGACGGACUCUGUGUUUGUCUCACCUUCUCCUCGGAUCGCUGUUUUGGGCUGACCUUUCCCCACCGCCUGCACUCCGAGGAGCUCCUCCUUGUCUCCCGCUUCUCCUGGGUGUCAGUCACAUUUCCUGCACUUUGCACGUCUAGUGAUUUGGGGCUGUGUCCUGCACAUCGUGGCUGGUGGCCCCAGGUCCGCCCUCCCGGGCCCCUGGCUCCACUCCAGGAAUGCCCCGGCUUCUUUUCUCCUGCACCAGCGGGACCUCGGGGGGCCUCGGCGGGGACGUGGGGACGUGAGGCAUGCGGGCCGCUGGAGGACUGGAAAGCAGCACACCUGCCCAGCGCGAUGCUUACUCCUCUGGUCCAAGAGAAAUCAAACACUUCCUGUGCCUGGAUUCCUGCCCAGCUCGCAAUGCCCCUGGAGAAGAUGGUGAAGAGUGUGUGUGCGCGUGUGUGUGCGCGCACGCACAUGUGCCCUGGGAGAGGGUGGUCCCAGCCUCCCCAGUCCCCCCGCCCAGGCCCUGCCCAGAGAUGAAGGAGUGACCUCAUCCAGGUGUGGGCAGGUCUCCCAGCGCCCCUGGAACAGCCCCCACUCUCCGAGACAAAGACCUCAUCACACAGUGACUUUCAGGUGGCAGAGAGGAGAGCAGAGCUUUUCGGUGGCCGGCUUCCCACCAGGGCACCUCCAGGGCCUGUUUUCUCUGUCCUGUCCCCGUUGGUGGCUACACGAGCUCUUCCCCAUUCAACCUGGGGAAGCCACAGGUGCAGGCAAGGUUGGAUUUAGGGAACUAGAAAAACCAAACAAGACCCCGGUGGGAAAGCCCGGGCACUGAGAUUGUCCUGACAGGAGUGGGGUGUCGUGGGAGGAGAGGGCCUGCAGGGAGGCGGGAAGGGGACACUAGGAGGUGGGGGGUUGGCCCCCAGGGGAGGCUGCAGGGGUGGUGCACCUGCCGGGAUGAGGGGUUGUUGAGAACAGAAGGAUGGCUGCCCUGGCACCCACCUCCCCCCUCAGCCUCUAUGCUGGGUGGGUGAGUGAUCAGUAGUUGGGAAGCCCUUGGUGGAUGGGGGGAGGUUGAAGGUGAAGCUCUGACGGUGGGGGGGCUUGCUAAGGGCACUUCUGACGGGAUGUGCUUCUGAUGCCAGUUCCUGCGCACCGGCCAGGCCUUCUUCGCUCACCUCUGUCCCACACUGUCCCCCUGGAGCCGGCCUCAGAUUGAUGGGGGAGCGAAGGCAGGGCACAGGAGGGGGUCCCCCCCACCCCGCAGGUGCUCCUGCCUGCCCUGAGGCUAGGGGAAUGGUCAGAGACCACAGCCCAGCAGGACAGGAGCCUCCCUCAGUGCACCAGUGUCUUAGGGGUUUACAAGGAAAAACACUCUUAUCAAUAGCAGAUAGCCGAACUUCCUGGAGCCCUAACAUCACCCUCCCCUCCACGGUGAGGUGGGAAAACAAAGGUGGAAGGGAAUGUCAAUAAAAUAAAAUUUCCUUAUGACCUGCAGCCCAUUGACAAACACAGGAGGCAGGCCUAGUAGAACAUUCCUCCAGGAAGCUCCCCACUGUCUCAGUGUUAAUGCUUUACUAGAGGGAAAACCACCGGAGCCUGCCCACGGCCAGGCCCCCAGGAUCCUGAGAGUCCUCUUUAGCAUAUCAAAGAUCUCUUGGACACCCCCCUCUGUCCUGAUCUCUCCCAACUCCUAAGUAUGUUAUCAGCUCACCUCACAGCCCCGGGGCUGCAGCUCUUCCUGCCCAUGGUCCGUCCCUGUGCUUUAAUAAAACCACCUUUUUGCACCAAA